UCUGAAGUUGGUAGUUUCUCUCAUUGUGCGCGGGGCCCGCAACUGUCGCGGGUGCUGUCGCCCGCACUGCUUUGUUCCCAGAUAGAGGGGCUCCCAGACUGAAGCUUUCCAGCUGGGAUGGAAUUGAGGAAGGGUAGCAGAGGGCCGGAUGAGCGCCCAGUCUGGUUCGAUGCCCAGACCUGAAUGCUGUGCUCCAGCUGUGGCCUCACCGGUGCUGAAUAGAGAGGAAGAGCCACCUUCAUAGCUUACAUGUGAUUCCUCUGCUUAUACAACCCAAUACUGGAUUUACUUACUUUGGCAAGAUAGCUGCAUUGUGCACUGUAUUUAAUGUUCCGUGUACUGUAACCCCGGGUCUUCCUCUGCAUUGCUGCCGUCACACCCUCAAUCCUACCAAUCUAAGUCUCCCGCCUUUGUUUGCCUGCCCUCCUCCCUUAGACUCCUCAUGCAUUCAUGCACAAUGAAUGUCAUCUUUUUAUUCUCUGAUUCCCUUUUACUUUAAUCUCAAACUCUUGACAAGACUUUUACUCUGUCCUAUAAAUUUUCAGCAGUCAGCCAACCUCCCUCCCCCUGCUUUGGUAAUGGAACGUUCUUUUCCGCUUGUAGCCCUGAAACCUAAGCAUUUGAUAUGGUGGAUUGAGUAAGCAUUCUGGCAUUUCUGAAUCGCAACGACUGGUUUGGCCCCUUGAAGUUGUUACCUUGCUUAGUUCUGUCUAGAUUUCCUUGACUCUUUAUGAGCUCUGUCUUGGUGGAUAGUAUAGUCUUACAGCUCCUCCUCCAGGGAGAUGAAAACGUACCACCAACAUCAAUGUACCAGAGAGAUUUCUCACAGUAAGGAAGUUAACUAUUAUCUUUUACUAGAGUAGCCUUUAGUAGUCUUACAGUUCUCCAGUUGAAGGUGAACUUGCUGUACAUUUCUGAGAUGAGUGAGGUGAAUGAAGCAGUGAAGCAAGGUCCCUCAGUGUCAAUGGACUGUGCUUCACCAAGCAAGCCAGCCAGUGGAUCUUAGUGGAUUUGGUAGCUGACUCAAAUGGGAGCUGCAGCCUCAUCUUUCCUGCACUCUGGAGCGUCAUGAUCUCUGAUUUAGAGAAGUUUUUUAGUUGGUUUGUUUAGGAUUGUUGAUACAGCCGCCCAGUCUUUUAAUGAUAUGCUUUGAUUAAGCAUUUAGAGGCUAGUGUAUUGUAUAAUCUUUUCUGUGGGUGGUAAGAAUUGGAAGGUCUCCAAAUGUCCUUUUUAUCUAUGUGUAAGCUCUCAAGUGAAUCCUAGUGCAUCUAAGGGUAGCAGUUAAGCCGAUAUUUGAGUCCUCUCUGUCCCCACCUCCCAUCUUAGUGGCUAUGCCCUGUUUAAACAGACUGCCCUUAAAUUUGUGGUAUUUAUUAGACCUACAAAGUACUGAUUACAUGUAUUUAUAUCUGGAAGGAGAGAAAGUUGGUUUGGAAAUCUUUUUAAUGCAAUAUGAGUAUAUCAAGUUAGACAUUACCAAACACCUGGUAGAUGUCAACACAUUGUACUAAUUUUGAACAUGUGUCACAGGUGUAUACUACAAGUAAAAGGUGUUUAUAGCUGUCAG
rnacentral:lncRNA from 1 species